rnacentral:rRNA from 1 species
UGCAGUCUUACGGGAAAGUCCUCUUCGGGGGGCGAGUACAGUGGCGAACGGGUGAGUAACACGUGGGCAACCUGCCCUCGGGAUCGGGAUAACCUCGCGAAAGUGGGGCUAAUACCGGAUAAGACCACACUGUCUUAUGGCAGAGUGGGAAAAGAUGGCCUCUUCUUGAAAGCUAUCACCUGAGGAUGGGCCCGCGGCCUAUUAGCUUGUUGGUGAGGUAACGGCUCACCAAGGCGACGAUGGGUAUCCGGCCUGAGAGGGUGAACGGACACACUGGCACUGAGACACGGGCCAGACUCCUACGGGAGGCAGCAGUGGGGAAUUUUGCGUAAUGGGGGAAACCCUGACGCAGCAACGCCGCGUGAGCGAUGAAGGCCUUAGGGUCGUAAAGCUCUUUUAGUGGGGAAUAAACAUUCAGGGGCGAAUAGGCCCUGGACUUGAAGGUACCCACAGAAAAAGUUCCGGCUAACUACGUGCCAGCAGCCGCGGUAAUACGUAGGGAGCGAGCGUUGUUCGGAAUCAUUGGGCGUAAAGCGCGUGUAGGCGGCUUGGCAAGUCCGUUGUGAAAGCCCACAGCUUAACUGUGGAACUGCGACGGAAACUGCUUUGCUAGAGUGCGGGAGAGGAGAGUGGAAUUCCCAGUGUAGAGGUGAAAUUCGUAGAUACUGGGAGGAACACCGGUGGCGAAGGCGGCUCUCUGGACCGCUACUGACGCUGAGACGCGAAAGCUAGGGGAGCAAACGGGAUUAGAUACCCCGGUAGUCCUAGCUGUAAACGAUGGG